rfam:Ixodes scapularis strain Wikel colony gcontig_1107729186868, whole genome shotgun sequence.
ACCUGGUUAGCUCAAUUGGUAGAGCGCUCCCCCUGUAAUGGAGAGGUCCCGGGUUCGAUACCCGGACCAGGCG